UACAGAGGGUGCAAGCGUUAAUCGGAAUUACUGGGCGUAAAGCGUGCGCAGGCGGUUUGUAAGUCAGAUGUGAAAUCCCCGGGCUUAACCUGGGAACUGCGUUUGAAACUACAAGGCUAGAGUGUGACAGAGGGGGUGGAAUUCCACGUGUAGCAGUGAAAUGGCGUAGAUAUGACGGAGGAACACCGAUGGCGAAGGCAAUCCCCUGGACCUGUACUGACGCUCAUGCACGAAAGCG
rnacentral:rRNA from 1 species